rnacentral:rRNA from 2 species
ACGGGUGAGUAACGCGUGGGAAUCUACCUUUUGCUACGGAAUAACGCAUGGAAACGUGUGCUAAUACCGUAUGUGCCCUUCGGGGGAAAGAUUUAUCGGCAAAGGAUGAGCCCGCGUUGGAUUAGCUAGUUGGUGGGGUAAAGGCCUACCAAGGCGACGAUCCAUAGCUGGUCUGAGAGGAUGAUCAGCCACAUUGGGACUGAGACACGGCCCAAACUCCUACGGGAGGCAGCAGUGGGGAAUAUUGGACAAUGGGCGCAAGCCUGAUCCAGCCAUGCCGCGUGAGUGAUGAAGGCCUUAGGGUUGUAAAGCUCUUUCACCGGUGAAGAUAAUGACGGUAACCGGAGAAGAAGCCCCGGCUAACUUCGUGCCAGCAGCCGCGGUAAUACGAAGGGGGCUAGCGUUGUUCGGAUUUACUGGGCGUAAAGCGCACGUAGGCGGAUCGAUCAGUCAGGGGUGAAAUCCCAGGGCUCAACCCUGGAACUGCCUUUGAUACUGUCGAUCUGGAGUAUGGAAGAGGUGAGUGGAAUUCCGAGUGUAGAGGUGAAAUUCGUAGA